rnacentral:snRNA from 1 species
AGCUUUGCGCAGUGGCAGUAUCGUAGCCAAUGACGUUUAUCCGAGGUGCGAUUAUUGCUAUAAUCUGGCCCUAGUCGACCUGUUUAUAAUCUUUUUUUCAACUUUCAUUCACUCAUUGAUUCAUAUAUUUAUCCAGUAAAUACGUGUUGAGUGCCUACUCUGUGUCAGACAUGUAGUCAUUUAUUUUCCUAAACCAGUUCACAUGG